CCUACGGGAGGCUGCAGUGGGGAAUAUUGCGCAAUGGGCGAAAGCCUGACGCAGCGACGCCGCGUGAGGGAUGAAGGUCUUCGGAUCGUAAACCUCUGUCAGCAGGGAAGAACGGUCACUGUGCUAAUCAGCAGUGAAUUGACGGUACCUGCAAAGGAAGCACCGGCUAACUCCGUGCCAGCAGCCGCGGUAAUACGGAGGGUGGGAGCGUUAAUCGGAAUUACUGGGCGUAAAGCGCUCGUAGGCGGUAUGUCAAGUCAAGGGUGAAAUCCCCGGGCUCAACGUUGGAACUGCCUUUGAAACUGGCAAACUGGAGUGUGUGAGAGGAUAGUGGAAUUCCAGGUGUAGGAGUGAAAUGCGUAGAUAUCUGGAGGAACAUCAGUGGCGAAGGCGACUAUCUGGCACAUAACUGACGCUGAGGAGCGAAAGCGUGGGUAGCAAACAGGAUUAGAUACCCGAGUAGUC
rnacentral:rRNA from 1 species